rnacentral:misc_RNA from 1 species
CAUGUCAUUUCAGAAAGCUUCAACUUUUCAAUUUCUGUUUUAGCUGCUUGCUUUCCCUUCCCAAUAGCAGCACCAAAAUAUCUAUAUGAUAUUCCAGAUGGCUCAAUCAUGUAUAAUUGUGGUCCAUCUCUGUCAUAACCACCAAGAAUUACCCCGCAACCAAAUGGUCUAAGCCACCAGUAGAGAGUGCACAAAUGCACAUAACUAGCAACGCGUUCAGCAAGUUCCUUCACAGGAAUGGCUUCACCAUAUACACUUUCAUAAUUUGUUGCCUCAGACUUAGCUCGUGCAACGAUUUGUCUCCCAUCAGCUGCUAAACCAGC